rnacentral:lncRNA from 1 species
GAGCAAACCUCUGCUAAAGUAGACACAGAGAUCAGAAGCAACGAAGUCAAAGCUGCUUCCCACCAAGCUGUGUGGUCCCAGAUCAAUAAAUGUCCACAGGACAAAAGCAGUGCCAACUGUGGGGCUCACCUUCCUGGAUUCCUGUCUUCUUCCUAGAUCUUGGUCCGAUGAAUUAUGUAUCUGAAAUGGCUGGCAACCUCAGC